GGUGACCAGCGGAGGGAUCAUUACCGAGUUUUACAACUCCCAAACCCCUGUGAACAUACCACUUGUUGCCUCGGUGGAUCAGCCCGCUCCCGGUAAAACGGGACGGCCCGCCAGAGGACCCCUAAACUCUGUUUCUAUAUGUAACUUCUGAGUAAAACCAUAAAUAAAUCAAAACUUUCAACAACGGAUCUCUUGGUUCUGGCAUCGAUGAAGAACGCAGCAAAAUGCGAUAAGUAAUGUGGAUUGCAGAAUUCAGUGAAUCAUCGAAUCGUUGAACGCACAUUGCGCCCGCCAGUAUUCUGGCGGGCAUGCCUGUUCGAGCGUCAUUUCAACCCUCAAGCACAGCUUGGUGUUGGGACUCGCGUUAAUUCGCGUUCCUCAAAUUGAUUGGCGGUCACGUCGAGCUUCCAUAGCGUAGUAGUAAAACCCUCGUUACUGGUAAUCGUCGCGGCCACGCCGUUAAACCCCAACUUCUGAAUGUUGACCUCGGAUCAGGUAGGAAUACCCGCUGAACUUAAGCAUAUCAAUAAGCGGAGGAA
rnacentral:rRNA from 1 species